rnacentral:misc_RNA from 1 species
GCAAAUGUGAAUUGCGAGUGUUUAUUCUUCGAGUUGGAAAGGAAGUCUUGGAUAACCAAAGUGGAAACUUAGCUUCUAAUGGGGUAAGUGUUGGGUGUACUGCCACCUCUCAUAAAACUGAAUGUUUUCCAAAGAAAUCCAGAAAAAACACUUUAAAGGCCCAUUCAUGGCUCACCACAAAGUUAGAAAAAUGUGAUAAAAAGGGGUCUAAUAAGAGUCAACUAGCAGCAGUUUCCAGAAGGAAACAUGGCAAUGCAACAAAGGGUUCUGCCCGUGCUAUGCUGUGCUCUCAGUCAAGAGGUGGCAAUGAAAAGCUGGAGGUGGCCACUGACAGUGGAAAGAAUUUGGAUGUUGAACUGAGUUUAAAUGAUGGAGCUGGUGGGAGAAUGAUAGUGGCACUCAAUGAAGAGAAAGCAGCCAAGUCGUUUAACUCAGGUUUUCCUAAUUUUGCCAGAAUCAUGAGGAAGUUCAACAUCAGUGGUUCAUAUACUCUGAAAAUCCCUCACCAAUUUUCUGCAGCAUAUCUCCCCAACUGCAAAACAGAGAUGGUCCUUCUUAAUUUACGAGGAGAACGCUGGACAGUGAAUUCAGUCCCAGACUCAAAAGGG